rnacentral:lncRNA from 1 species
AUUUUACAUAUAUAUAUAUAUAUAUGGUCCGGCUAUUAUACUAUUAUGAGUACAAUCGCCCUCAUACUCAUAAGUUGUUUUCGAUGAUAGAGCUUCUAAAUCGACGAUCCAUGCCGUUAAACGUUAUUUACAAUUUUUAAAAUUUCUAGAAAUCAAAUUUUAUAAUUUUUUGACAUCAUUUACCUUAUGAUCAAGAGGUUACAAAUUUGACAAUUUUUAACGGCCGGUAUGGAAUACUUGCUAGUUUAACGGUAUAAAAGAAUCGAAAUUUGUUGAAUUUUUGAUAGAAAAUUAAAUUCACUACAUAGAUAAAGAUCAAUAACUCCGAUCUUGAAUUGAAGGAUCCGAUCAUUUUUUUUUAGGACGUCGUUCGAUUUUGACCAUUCAUUUUAUGCUUACUUGAUGGACUAUAUUAUGAUUUCGAAAAUUUACGAAAUUUAUUUUCUAAAANUCUCUCUAUAUAUAUAUAUAUAUAUAUAUAUAGUCCGGUUACUAUACUUUUAUGAGUAUUGGCUCCCUUAUACUCAUAAGUUUUCGGCCUUUAGAUUUAUUCCAUGAUUAUUUCCACUCGUUAGAUCAUACUAUUCAACCAACUACCCACUCAACCUUAGGGGACCACUAUCAUUUUAAAUGGAGACCACCAUCAUUUUAACAAUACAUCCCAUUAAUCAACGGUUAAAAAUUUAUGAAUAUAAGGGGUUCUAUACUCAUAAGAGUACAGUAACUCCAGCCUCUAUAUAU